AAUUCUCCCACCUUUCGGUGCCAAAGGAUCAAGUUUUAUUUGUCCAGUCCUACUAGAUAUCCGUUUCGCAACCUCUGUUCUGGUUCUAUCUUGUUUUAAAUUUGUUUAUGAUGGCAACAAAAUAUCUUCCAUUAGUCAGGUCUUUUAAGAAAUUUCAUUGACUUGUCUUAAUGAGAAAAAGUAUCAUUUUUUUUAGUUUGCAUAAUCUUCGUAGCUCAAACCAAUUAUUGCCCUGGCAUUCUCAUUUUGUCUUAAAGGUAUAUCUCUAUGUCAUCAUUUUCACAUAAAUAGAAAGAAACAGCACUAAAAUAGCUUUUCUUAAAUGUUUUAUCAGGCAUCUGGUCUUGCCAGCCAACACCUGUUUUCAAAAUCCUGAUGACACAUCUCUCUCUCUCUCUCUCUCUCUCUCUCUCUCUCUCUCUCUCUCUCUCUCUCUCUCUGUUUUUUUUCUUUUUCUUUUUGCUCUAUGCCUUUCUCUGUAGUCCUUAAGAAAAUAAACCUAAAGGAUUGAAAAGAGAAAAAACCAAAGUGUCAGGAAAGCCCAAUGUGUGGAUCUCUGGACUCGUGCAUGCACCAUGCGGGGUUUCAGGUGUCAAUACCAGCACCAGUGAUCAACAUGCUUCUGCAAAAACUGCGGGUUCAGCGAUGUCUACCUUCCCAGAAGACCAAAUGAGACACAGACAGGUUGAAAGCAAAGUUAGAGGUUUAUUUCUCAGUGGCCAGAGAGGAUACCAGUGAAGACAGCACUUCAGAGACCUGAAAUCCCACAACUGCAAAUACAGAACCUAUAUAUUAUAUUUUGACAGCUAUUCAAGACACCCACGUUUGCUUCUGAUUGGUUUAGAAUCCAACUAGGAUCCGCUUUGUGGUUAGUCCCAGAUUCCCUCUGAUAUCAUUGCUGGUUGAUCUCCACAAGAACCAUAAAUAAUUUUUAUUGUAUCAUUUUGAAAUUUGUGUCUAUUUAUUGAUCUGGCCGUGAGCAGGAUAUGCGCAGGGAAGAAUGCAAUGGGGCAAGUGAUAAUGGGCUGAAAUGGGUCUUAAUAUUCCAGCUCUUAUAAAUACAAUAAUGUCAGUCCAAAUAAACAAAAGGUGCCUGGGAGGAGAGAAGAGUCCUGUGUAGACAUUGUCCAGGAUCCCACAUUUGCAAAAACAUUAUAGUUCUCCAUAAUGAUUUUUUUUUUUUUGCUGAAGAUUGUUUCACCUUUCACUGAAAUAUUGCUUCCCAUCCACAUCCCAAAAUAGCAAAAAAAUUACUUUUGCAUGUGACUUGAAGUGACCUAAAUAUAUCUGUUAUUUCCUGGAAAAUGGAAAAGAAAUUAGUGAAUCCACAAGUAAGUUAAUUCUGUGUCACCUAUUUAACUAUGUAGCUACAUUGGUUACAUAGCUCCCAAACUCAUUCCUUUCCCCAUUGUUGCUCUACUUGGCAUCAGCCAGGAGUCUGUCCCCCUCGCAACCAGCAGCUGAGUUUUCCACUCCUUCCCAUUAGCCAUUUCUAAGGCAGAAGACCAGGUCCUUGUGGCAUUCCCAUUCAUGGCAGAGAUCACUUGCAUGUGGGAGGUGGAUGGGAACAUCAGUCAUCUGCUUCACAAUUAACAGAGUAACAGAUCCCUGUUGCUUGCAGCAGCUGCUUCUUGGUAAGUAAAGUUUGGAGAACUUUCACAGUCGCUACAUAUGCCUUAAAGAUCAUGAAUACAAAUCAGUCAUGAAUACAUAACUUUAGGAUACCAAUUUGUAACUGCCUUACUAAAUUCCAGCUCAGUACUUUGUAUUCUCUCUCUCUUUAACAACUAUACAGGUGCCAUUAGAAAAUGUGUUUUGUUCAAUUCUGAACAAUGCCAGCAUGCUCUUAGGUAUAUUUAAAUUGUCAGAAGUUGCCCUCCUACCUACUGCAUACCUUUUAAGUCCACUGUGGAGCAAGCCUGCACAGCAGUAAGAAACAAAAUCAUUUGACUUAUUUUUGGCAUCCAUUGUUGUCUUCUGUAACAUAUUUAUGAUUUUAUUUUCUUUUGUUCUGCUUUGUGGGUGCACCAAGACAUGGAUGAGAUUAUAACUAAUUAAUCUUCCAACAUGCCUUUAGAAACUGGGAUAGAAAAUGUUACACAAGCUUUUUAUUAGUAUUUGGCACAACCUCCAGGGUAGUUAUUUCAGGCUCAUUAAUUUGUGGUCUAAUCUGAAAUUUCUAUGGACAAUUUGAAAGAGUAUCGAAGUAACUACAAGCCCUUUGUCAUUACCCUCUGUUUUUUGGAAACAAAGAAGCAAGGACAAAGCAAGACGAUUAAAACAUUAGCACUGCAGUGUUGAAGAAAACCCAAAUGUGGAACAGAUAACAUUGCUUUUGACAAAAGUAAUUUGAAUCAAAAAGAGAUAAAGGGCGAGCAUUAAAUAGUUUUACAUGAAAUCUAAUGGCAUUCAAACAAUUCUACUGAUUCAAGGCACUGGUGCAUUAGUUCAAUUAUUCAUAAUUUCUCAAAUAUAACUUCAGCAGCAUGAUUACAAACAGAAUAGAAAAGGUAUUCCUUCAGAGAGUUAAAGGUGAUACAACUAAUUUGUUGUUUUCCAUGUUCUGAAUACUAAUCCUGAAUAUGUGUGUAUAGCCCAAAUCAGACCAAUAUUGGAUAGUACACAUUGAAAUUCACAGGCAAAAGAAAAAA
ensembl:lncRNA